rnacentral:lncRNA from 10 species
CGCUAGAAGCAGAUGCUGCGAUGCUUCCUGUGUAGCCUGCAGAACUCGGCCGUGUUGUAAGCUGUCCUAUGAAGAGGGCCACAUGACAAGAAACUGAUGCAGCCAACAGCCAUUGAGGACCUGAGGCUUGUCAGCAGCCAUGUAAGUGAGCUUGGAAGUAGAUUAAAAUGACUGUAGGCCUGACCUCCAUCUUAUUUGCAGCACUAUGAGAGACCCUGAUGAAAGGACUUGCCUAAGCUGUACCUGAACUCCUGACACUUAGAAACUGUGAGAUAAUAAAUGGUUACUGGUUUAAGUUGCUAAUGUUAGGGGAAUUUGUUAUGUAGCAGAAAUCUCUAACACACGAUUUAAUAAUUUUAUUGUCUUUUCUCUAUUGAAUUAUAUGUAAUCUUAUCAUUGAAUCAAUCAUUAAUUCCACUCAUUUAUUGCUAUAGAUUUGCUGUAUGCCCAUAUGUAAUACAGUAUUUCCCCCUGCUUCACCAUCUUUUUAUUUUAAAGUCAACUUUGCUAUUUGUUAAUUUUUCUUCUUCAUACUUUUUAGAGCAAGUUCACUGAGUUUUUGAAAUAUAGUUAGAAUUUUAUUUAAUUUGCAUCAAAUUUAUUGAUAAAUUUGCAGAAUUUGUAACUUUAUUUCACUAUAAUCUCAUCUAAGAGUCUGGAAUGUCUUUUCACUUAUUCAAAUCAUGAUCAUUUUCCUUUAUUGGAGUCUUAAAGUUUUAUCCAUAGAAAUCUUUUAUAUUCUUUAUUAAGCUAAUUCCUAGAAAAUUCAUACAUUUUGUUAUAUUUUAUAGUUGGUUAUAAAGAAAUGCUAGUACAACCACUAUGGAAAACAGUAUGGAGAUUCCUUAAAGAUCUAAAAGUAAAUCUACCAUUUGAUCCAGCUAUCCCACUCCUGGGUAUCUACCCAGAGGAAAAGAAGUCAUUACCUGAAAAAGAUACCUGCACACGUUUAUAGCAGCACAAUUCAUAAUUGCAAAAAAUAGAGCCAGCUCAAAUGCCCAUCAAUCAAUGAGUAAAGAAAAUGUGGUACACACACACACACACACACACACAUGUUUAUAUAUAUAUAUAUAAACAUACCAUAGAAUACUAUUUAGCCACGAAAAGAAAUGAAACAAUGGCAUUCACAGCAACCUGGAUGGAAUUAGAGAACAUUAUUCUAAGUGAAGUAACUCAGGAAUAGAAAACCAAACAUCGUAAGUUCUCACUUCUAAAGUGGGAGCUAAGCUAUGAGGGAGCAAAGGCAUAGGAAUGAUACAAUGGACUUUGGGGACUCAGGAAAAAGGGUGGGAGUGGAUGAGGGAUAAAUGACUACACAUUGGGUAUAGUGUACACUGCGCCGGUGAUGGGUGCACUGAAAUCUCAGAAAUCACCACUAAAGAAUUUAUUCAUGUAACCAAACACCACCUGUUCCCCCAAAACCUGUUGACAAAAAAGUAGAAAAUAAAACUUUCUGAUUAAAACAACAACAAAAGCCCAGAAAUGCUAUUGCUUAUGGUCAUUAAUUCUUUUAUCCUGCAACCUCUCUUAUAGUGGUUGUCUGUUGGCUGACAGAAUAAAAUAAUAAUUAAUAGUUU